rnacentral:rRNA from 1 species
UACGUAGGGUGCGAGCGUUGUCCGGAAUUAUUGGGCGUAAAGAGCUCGUAGGCGGUGUGUCGCGUCGGUCGUGAAAACUUGGGGCUUAACCCUGAGCUUGCGGUCGAUACGGGCAUCACUGGAGUUCGGCAGGGGAGACUGGAAUUCCUGGUGUAGCGGUGAAAUGCGCAGAUAUCAGGAGGAACACCGGUGGCGAAGGCGGGUCUCUGGGCCGAUACUGACGCUGAGGAGCGAAAGCUAGGGUAGCAAACGGG